ACGGGGCCCGCACAAGCGGUGGAGCAUGUGGUUUAAUUCGAUGCAACGCGAAGAACCUUACCUGGGCUUGACAUCCCGAGAAUCCCCUGGGAAACAGGGGAGUGCCCCUUCGGGGAGCUCGGAGACAGGUGCUGCAUGGCUGUCGUCAGCUCGUGCCGUGAGGUGUUGGGUUAAGUCCCGCAACGAGCGCAACCCCCUAUCUCUAGUUACCAUCAGGUAAAGCUUGGGGACUCUAGAGAGACUGCCGGUGACAAACCGGAGGAAGGUGGAGAUGACGUCAAGUCAUCAUGGCCCUUAUGUCCUGGGCUACACACGUACUACAAUGGUCGGUACAGGGCGAUGCGAAACCGCGAGGUGGAGCAAACCGCAGAAAGCCGAUCUCAGUUCAGAUUGGAGUCUGAAACUCGACUCCAUGAAGGUGGAAUCGCUAGUAAUCGCGCAUCAGCAUGGCGCGGUGAAUACGUUCCCGGGCCUU
rnacentral:rRNA from 1 species